AUGUUUUGUCAUGAGCAAACUGAGCCUGCUAUCCACAUGGGUAUUAUUCACUGGGAUAAAAUUUUCAUCUUAGUUAAUCCUCGUGUAAAAAACAUGACUUUGAGUGAGAGACUGAGGUAUACAGGAUUUUCCUGUAUCACCUGUGAACCAAAGAUGUCAGAGACUGUAAUCCUUGUCCUGCUUCCCCACACGUCCACAUACUCGGAGAGGAGAGACUCGCAACAAACCGUCCGGGUUAGAAGUCGCCGACACGGGAGAGCUCCCGAGGGGGCAAGCGGCCCUUACACCCACUGCCCCGCCGAGCCGGGGCCCAGGCGGGCAGCUGGGAGCCGCCCCAGGCGCCGAGGUCGGGCAUCCGGGCGUUUGCUGGAGCCGCAGUGGCGGAGAACCGAGCGCCGGCGCGGCAGGAGGGCACCGCCGCUCCGCCACCCCGGCCCUGCCCGCCCCGCCGAGCCGCCUGCCGCUGCAGCCGCUCCUCUCCUUCACCUGCCGGGGCUCGAAGGGAGCGCGGGCGCAGGGGCCGCCGCCGGCCGUCCCCAAGCACGGCCGCUCGCCUUCCGCCGCCGGCAGUCUGGCUCUUCGUUGCUGCCCCUGCGGGCGAGGGGACAGCGAGUUCCCCUCGCGUGUGUGUGCGUGCGUGUGUCCCGGCGGCGGAGCCGUCGCGGGAACUCUCCCUCCCUGCCGAGGCGAGCGCGGCCGGAGCACACGCGGGCCUCACCUGGCGCUGCCCCGCACCUUGCGGGAGGAGCGGCGCGGGAGGCGGGGCGAGCCGGCGGGCCCGGCCCGUUGCACCGUCGCCGCCGGGGGCCGGUCUCCCGCUGGGCGCGGGGAGGGCAGGCGAGGCGGCGGCCCCCGCCCGCCGUAACCGCUCCCCAUCCUGCCCGCUGGUGCCGCCCCCAGCAUGGCGACACGGUAGAGGAGCGGCUGCGCCGGGGCGACCGCCCCCUCCCGCCUCCUUGGCACGGGCACGGCGCGCCGCGGGCGAGCGAGCGGCCUUGGCGGCGCUGCUGCCGCCGGUGCCCCGCGCAGGGCUCAGCGGCGGCGGACGAGGAUGGCGGUGGCGGUCGCGGCGGCGGCGGGCACAGCAGCAGCAGCGGCGGCGGGGCCGAGCGGCCGCGCGGCGGGAGCCAGCACCGUCCCGAGCAGCUCAUGGUGGCGCCCCAGACCCGCCAGCAGCGGCCGCUCCGGGGCCGCCAGCUGAGCCGGAUCCCGGCGGGCGGCUCUCCCCUCUCCACACCGACCCACAGAGCGACCCGUCCCCCUUCCCCGGCUCUCCCUCUCCCCCCUCCCCGGCGCGACCCGCGCCUCGGAUCGCCCCCGCCGGAGCCGGACUGCCACCACCCCCGGGCGCCGCGGGAAAGGCGGCGGCGGCGAAGGGCACCGGGCAGCGCCAGGCGGCGGCGGGACCAUGGGCGCGAAGCAGAGCAGCCCCACCGCCGCCAAUGGCCGCACCCGGGCGUACUCGGGCGGGGAUCUGCCUUCCUCGAGCAGCAGCAGCAGCGGCGGCGCUAA
rnacentral:lncRNA from 1 species